rnacentral:rRNA from 1 species
AUUGAACGCUGGCGGCAGGCUUAACACAUGCAAGUCGAGCGUGCGGCGGACGGGUGAGUAAUGUCUGGGAAUGUGCCUGAGAGAGGGGGAUAACUACUGAAAACGGUCGCUAAUCCCGCAUCCCCACAGGUGUGCCCAUAUGGGAUUCGCUAGUAGGUGGGGUAAUGGCUCACCUAGGCGAAGAUCCCUAGCUGGUCUGAGAGGAUGACCAGCCACACUGGAACUGAGACACGGUCCAGACUCCUACGGGAGGCAGCAGUGGGGAAUAUUGCACAAUGGGCGCAAGCCUGAUGCAGCCAUGCCGCGUGUGUGAAGAAGGCCUUCGGGUUGUAAAGCACUUUCAGCGAGGAGGCGUUACUCGCAGAAGAAGCACCGGCUAACUCCGUGCCAGCCGCCGCGGUAAUUC